rnacentral:rRNA from 1 species
UUGAACGCUGGCGGCAUGCUUUACACAUGCAAGUCGAACGGCAGCAUGGGUGCUUGCACCUGAUGGCGAGUGGCGAACGGGUGAGUAAUGUAUCGGAACAUAUCCGCAAGUGGGGGAUAACGUAGCGAAAGUUACGCUAAUACCGCAUAUUCCCUGAGGGGGAAAGGAGGGGAUCCGCAAGGACCUUUCGCUUACGGAGUGGCCGAUAUCAGAUUAGCUAGUUGGUGGGGUAAAGGCCUACCAAGGCGACGAUCUGUAGCGGGUCUGAGAGGAUGAUCCGCCACACUGGGACUGAGACACGGCCCAGACUCCUACGGGAGGCAGCAGUGGGGAAUUUUGGACAAUGGGGGCAACCCUGAUCCAGCCAUGCCGCGUGAGUGAAGAAGGCCUUCGGGUUGUAAAGCUCUUUCAGCUGGAAAAAAAUCGCAUCACCUAAUACGUGGUGUGGAUGAUGGUACCAGCAGAAGAAGCACCGGCUAACUACGUGCCAGCAGCCGCGGUAAUACGUAGGGUGCGAGCGUUAAUCGGAAUUACUGGGCGUAAAGCGUGCGCAGGCGGUUUUGUAAGACAGACGUGAAAUCCCCGGGCUUAACCUGGGAACUGCGUUUGUGACUGCAAGGCUAGAGUAUGGCAGA